AGCAAAGCUUGAGGGAGGAGAACACAGCUGAGUCAGAGCUUAUCCAUCAUUGGUUGCUGAGCCUCACUGAGAGUAUGUUGUCUGCUGAGAACAAGAUUUACCUGGAGACUGAAAAUUGAAUUGAUCAUGGGUGAGGCAAGUUAGUAAGGUUGUGUCAACUGAAGAAUGAUGAGGUUCAUCAAUUUGGAAAGGAGAGCUUUAUUUCUCAAAAAUGAUUGCAGCCUGCAAGGUGGCCAUUCUGACAGCCUAGGAAAGGUAAAUUCCCCAAACUGGAAUUUACACCAUGCACUCUCAUUGAAUUACACCACCAGCUUUCCUGGGCCUACAGGUUGCGGACAGCAGGUCAUGGGACAUCUCAGCCUCCAUAAUCAUGAGUGGGAAGAAAAAGAAAAAACAAUUGUUCUCCUUGGUGUGUUGGAUCUUGGGCGGAUAAAGGAACUUCAACUCCUUCGGUGAGAUGGUAGCAGCAGAGAGGUCAGAGAGACCUUGAGGCUUUGUCUUCAGUUGAGCAUGUCAAAACACCAUAUUUUGAUGUUUCUGAGUCCCAACAUGGGAAGUAAGAAGUGUGUUCUACAUUUAGAAUAGAGAAAAAUGUAAUAAAAUUUAAGAAGUACCUACAUAUAUAAGCUACAAUUUUAUUAAAGUGCUG
rnacentral:lncRNA from 1 species